UACGUAGGGUGCAAGCGUUGUCCGGAAUUAUUGGGCGUAAAGAGCUCGUAGGCGGUUUGUCGCGUCUGCUGUGAAAACUCGGGGCUUAACUCCGGGCCUGCAGUGGGUACGGGCAGACUAGAGUGCGGUAGGGGAGACUGGAACUCCUGGUGUAGCGGUGAAAUGCGCAGAUAUCAGGAGGAACACCGGUGGCGAAGGCGGGAUCUCUGGGCCGUAACUGACGCUGAGGAGCGAAAGCGUGGGGAGCGAACAGG
rnacentral:rRNA from 1 species